ACAAAACAAUUCACUGUUUUUUUAGGGGCCUGACAUUAUUUAACAAAUGUAAAAGUAAAAAGAACAAACAUUUAUCGAAGCAAACACAUAUAAAAUAUUACAAUAGAACAACCCCUGAAAGUAGAAUUCCCACAGAAAAAAAUUACUGGGGGGUGAGUGCCUUGUGGCUAAAGAUUGAUUAGAUUAGAAACUAAAACUUGAAACCUCAAUUUAUCCCCAGUGUUAGAUAUGAACUAAUUUGAGGAGCAUCCAUUUCUUAAAGGAAUAUUCCAAUCACCAUAACCACUAAUGAUUGAUGUAAUAGUCACAGUGCCACGAGUUCCCCAGCACCCGCCCAUUGUACGUUAUCAGCAUCAGCUGAUGAACUUUAAUUGUGCAGGCAGGGAGCUGUGCCCGGGGGAGGUGAACUCCAGGUAAAUAGUCAAACCUUAGUUCUUAGAGUGUUCCUUGCUAAAAGUCACAAUUAUGUAACACAAUUCUUGUUUAGUUAGUCCACCAUAGCCUUUUAUAUUCAGUCUGUCUCACAGGAAAAGAUAGGCCCAAGUAUUUCAUAUCUUACCACAGUACAGGAAAAAAGUACAAUAAAAGUAAUUACUUAUUGACUAUGAAGGUCUGAACGUUCAUGAUCACUAAGACGUUUUGUUUGGUGCAUUAUAGUAGAUAAAUUGUACAACGUGAAACUAAAUCAGAUCUUUAGACAAACAUAACGUUGAUGAUUACCACUUUCCUUAUGUUUGGUUUUAUGAAGUAUACAGCAGUUAAAGCCACCGAAAUAUAUAUAAUGCUGACUGUUCUGUAUUUAUAAAGUUGGUCUUUUAAAAAUAAAACUGAUAGAAUUACACUUUGAGUACAUGUAAACAAAAAACUUGAUGAAAAAAUGUGGAAAACGAGCUCCUGGAAAAAUGAAGGAAAAUUACAAUAAAUUGCAACUGUAAUCAUGUGAAACUUCUCACAUUACCCAAAAUGAAUAGUUAGUAUCUAGUGCAAAAAGCACAGCUAAAAUAGUGCAAUAUUGUUUAAAAAUGGAGCCAUGUCCAUACUGUGUGUCAGAUUGCAAUACGAUAAUCCAUUGUAAAAAUAAAUGUGGCUUCACUUUUGUUAAAUGAAUUGGACAUUUACCUAUACGUUUAUUUAGGAGUGACUCUGCAAUUUACAGAUUGUGAUUGGCUGUUGACAUAACAUGCUGUUUGUACCUUUAUCUCAUUUUAUAUAGUUUAUCGCUAAACGUCAAUGAGAGUUUGAAAACUAGGAUGUGGGAUAGGUUAAUCCACACUUCAUGUGUUACAUAAUAUGUAAAUCCUGAAACACUGUUUAAAAAUUUUAAAUAAGAAGACUCUGAAUACAUUCCAUUUUUAUAACUGAUUUUUUAAUUGCAUUUCAUGGCAGAUAUUGAUUUGAGCGAUUUAUAAGAGGUGGACUUCAAGGUAGGAAUCAGCAAUUUGCUAGAGAUGCUUUGUCCAUCAAACUCGUGGUAUCUUAUUUCAGUGGAAGUGAAGUUGGCUGGAUGAGAUAAUGCACAGAUAGGAGUACCAGAUGACCACAAACUAGCUAUAAAUCCAUAGGACAAUACUGGCCACACUUCAGAUUUCCUCACAGUCAAAGUCAAAUAACUUAAACUAAUGUUAACACUGGAUCUAUUUCUCCAGUAACUUCAUAUCCCAUAAAAGUGCCCUAUUUAAAGGACCACUAUAGUGUUAGUAACAUAAAGCUGUAUUCCUAAAACCAUAGUGUCCUUCUGCCCCUCGUUCCCCUCAUCUCCCCCACCGGCAAUGUAAAGGGUGAAAAAACCCUUGAAAUACUUACCUGAUUCCAACACAGAUGUCCCUUGGUGCUGGGUCUGGCUCCUCCACUUUCAUCAGCCUAUGGGGGUAGCCUGACGCGAACACCACAUGUGUAUUUGGCCUUGCCCAUAGGAAAAAUUGAAUCAAUGCUUUCCUAUCGGGUUUUUCAAGAUAGACAUCCUCAUACAAACCGUGAGGACGUCCAGCGUUGCUUCAUGGAGUCAAACUCUAUGAAACUGCAAGAAGCACCUCGACACAGCUACCCGAGGCAGUCAUAAUCCUGCAAUGUAAACAUUGAUGUUUCUCUAAAACUGCAAUGUAUUAAGUUGCAGGAUUAUUAGAACAGGUACAGUGCAUCCAGACAACUUCAAUGAGAUGAAGUGGUCUUUGUGUCUAUAGUGUGCCUUUAAGUUAAUGUUAAUUAUUGUGUUGGCAAAAUCAAUGCGUGUUUUAUAGCAUUUCUAUAUUAUGUGAUUGCCAAUGCCUUAUCAUGUGAAAUGUGUGGAACCAUGAUAUAUUGUGAUUUUUUUAUAUCCAUGAUAUAGUACCCAUUACACUAACACAAAACAUGGAUAAGUCUUUGUUACCCCAUACCACAGUUCAAUAAAUAUUGUAACAGAAUACCUGUUCGAGACAGAGAUGUGGAGGGAGGCUUUAGAAUGUCCACCAAUAUGCCCAUUUACAUUUAAUGUGAGUAUAAGAUUCUAAAUAUUCAAAUUGAAUUUGUGUAUUUGUCUAAUAUUCACAUAUGCUUUGAUUGUAAUACAUUAAAAUAUAAAAGUAUCCCAAAGUUUACAAAAGUAUACAGUGUUACAUCGAAGGAACAUUCCAAGCACAAUAACCACCACAGCAUGCUAGAAUGGUAAUGGUGCGAGGAGUGCCCCCACAAUGUUUGCUGCCAGCCGUCUGUCACCUUCUCCGUGAGAGCUGGAAGCUAAACUGAUGGUACAGGGCUUAGUUCAUUGAGUAAGCGCUAUGGGAUGACACUCUAAGUCAAUGAGCUUGCCCUGCACAUCAGGUUUUAGCUCAGGAGUGCGAAUCGAAGCUACAUGCAGGGGGAAGGGGCUUGUGCUUGGCCGACCCAGCUAAGUUGCCAAAACUAUUAGCC